CGGAGGGGCGAGUCGGAAGGUGCUGAAGACUCCCGGGCGUUUUUCCUGUGCGCGGGACGGCGGUGUUCUGCGGCCAAUCUCCGAAACUUCCACCGCAGCGGUCAGAGGCCCUGUGCCAAACCUCCUUUGUGCCUCAGGAAAGUCUUAGAACUAUAGCAGCUGUCUUGUGAUUAAAAAGUCAAGUUCUCAAGAUUUGCAGAGAAUACAACCCAGACCUUUCACAUGGACUUCAAUGAGCUGCAUCAAAACCCUGGAACCUCCUCUCUUACAGGUAACUUCCUAGAGACCAGGUCCUUCCAUGUUCUUCAUCACCAC